UACGGAAGGGGCAAGCGUUGUUCGGAAUCAUUGGGCGUAAAGAGCUCGUAGGCGGUUUGUUGCGUCGGCUGUGAAAUCCCGAGGCUCAACCUCGGGUCUGCAGUCGAUACGAGCAAACUAGAGUGUUGCAGGGGAGACUGGAAUUCCUGGUGUAGCGGUGAAAUGCGCAGAUAUCAGGAGGAACACCGGUGGCGAAGGCGGGUCUCUGGGCAACAACUGACGCUGGAGGAGCGAAAGCGUGGGGAGCGAACAGG
rnacentral:rRNA from 1 species